UUUAUCGCUUUUCUAGGCAUUGGCCUCCCAUCCAAUCCAAUGACAUUUGGCACUGCCUGCCACAGUUUCUUAUCUUCCUUUCUAUAUGGAGUCGAAUUCUCUUGAAGCUCAAGCUCAUUGAUUUUAUCAGCAAUUUCUUCAGCUUGGAGCAAGAACUGAAAUACUGGGUUUUCCCGAAACUCAGCGAACCACUUCUCAUUCUCCUCAAUCUCUUCCUUAGUUGGGUUCUCCUUUUUCUCAAUAAAGGGAUCCUCAUUCAUAAUCCGCUCAACUUCUGGAGAAUGUCUAUAGUCGGGUCGGGUCUCACACUCCCAAUAGAACUGGUCCAGCAUUUUCCGGUAAUGACCUGGUUUUUCAGGAGCUGAUUUGGGUUUUCUUGAAAAUGGAUUUGAAAUAGCUGCAAAAGGUGGAGAAUGUUGAUGGGCUUUUAGGGAAUCAAAGUGGG
rnacentral:misc_RNA from 1 species